CUCCUCAACCCCUCCCCUGGCCUUGGAAUGUACGUUCUGCCCACCAUUCCCACAGUGGGAGCCAUUAUCAAGGACGCAGCCUUGAGAGAGAGAGCAAUGUGUUGUUGAGACCAUCUGGACGGAACCCAGUUAAGGCCUCUGUAUAAAUUUUUAGGAUUCUGGCAGGCAAGUGUGAAGAUCUACUUAUCUUGUGGCGCCCAAGACAAACCUCGUGGUUUGGUACCAAGACUCAGAUGGAAUUGGACCCUGCCUUCAGAUCCUCAUUUACUCCACCCAAAUAUAAAGGCUUCUUAGAGCCCUUUGUAAUCUGCUCCUGACUGGCUGAGACACAAGGGUCCUGGUGUUUUUGCAAGUCUCCCUGCUCCAGGCGCCACAGAUACCUCUUUUCUGUGGAUUGAGGGACUGGAAACAAAACAAAAAGCAAGCCUCCUGGGACCAGAUCCAGGGCCACCUUACUCCCUGCUACGGCGAUGACCUUCCUUUGCACUAGUGGACAAAAAAAGCAAUAAUAUGAAACAUCUGGAAAAGUGCUAACAACAAGCUUGAUCUAUCGAACAGACAGAAUUCUCCAUCCAACAAUAAAGAAUGAGGUUCCAGCUCAAGAUGGUGACUAGGAAGAUCCUGAACUCACCUCCAUCCCUGGACAAACUGGGUCUACAGCUACCUAUAAAACAAUUUCCUCCUUAAAAAACCUAAAGGCUGGGGCUUCCCUGGUGGCGCAGUGGUUGAGAGUCUGCCUGCCAAUGCAGGGGACGCGGGUUCGAGCCCUGGUCUGGGAGGAUCCCACAUGCCGCGGAGCAACUAAGCCCGUGUGCCACAACUGCUGAGCUUGCGCGUCUGGAGCCUGUGCUCCGCAACAAGAGAGGCCGUGAUAGUGAGAGGCCCGCGCACCGCGAUGAAGAGUGGCCCCCGCUUGCCGCAACUAGAGAAAGCCCUCGCACAGAAACGAAGACCCAAC